UACGAGAGGCCCAAACGUUAUUCGGAAUUACUGGGCUUAAAGAGUUCGUAGGCGGCCUCCGCAAGUCGACUGUGAAAUCUCUGGGCUUAACCCAGAACGGUCAGCCGAUACUGCGGGGCUAGAGUUCGGUAGGGGAGACUGGAAUUCCUGGUGUAGCGGUGAAAUGCGCAGAUAUCAGGAGGAACACCGGUGGCGAAGGCGGGUCUCUGGGCCGAUACUGACGCUGAGGAGCGAAAGCGUGGGGAGCAAACAGG
rnacentral:rRNA from 1 species